AAAAAACAUAAUUCAAAAUCACCAUAUGAAAAGAAUUUUAAAAAGCAGCAGCAUGAGACAAAGGGAGAGAAUUCCAAUCAAAAAUCUAAAUUCUGCAAUUCUUGGAUCAUAAGUCACUGAAGAAGAAUUUUGUGUUCUUCACAGUUUUAUCUAUGAAAAAGCCCAUGACUGACAAGGAUAACAGAAGAUCCUAAGAUUGUACAGAAGAGGGGAGUAAAGAAAUAGAAAGCAAAAUUGAAAGCUGGAAAAUAGUCGAGUAAUGCUUUCAAAUUUUGAGGGACUCAAACUCACUCCCACUGAAAUGCGAAAUCUCAGAAGUGAAAUAACUGCAGCUAAGUCAUGAUUCAUUCAGUGUCGCAUGGUUGCUUUAGCUGGACAUUAUUUAAGGAUGAUGUAAGAACAGGAACUCGGUGCCUAGAAGCUCAGAUGCGGCUGCUCAAUCGAGAUAAGGGGAAACAAAAGGAAACUGCGCUCGCUUCUAAAGAUGCCUACUGCAGUUCAAGGUCUAGGUCCAGAAUCUGCAUAUUAUGUAAUUUUGACAUAGAUUCCCUCCUGUGUGGAGAGACGACGAGGAUAGAUUUUAGGCAAAAAAAAGGCCUUCUUUUAUAA
rnacentral:lncRNA from 1 species